UUCGCGAUGCGCCGCGGCGCGGCGAGAUUCAUUUCGGCUGGGUGCUGGAAGGCCGCGCGGUGCAGGACGUGUGGAUCAUGCCGCCGCGUCGCGAGC
rnacentral:tRNA from 1 species